UUUCUGAAGUAGACCAGGGUUGUGUCCAGGCUACAGCACAAGGCAAAGGCCAGCAAGGGCUCUGAAUUUCAGUUUCCUCAAAUAAAAAGCAAAGGAUGGAUGGGGUAGCGCUCAGUGGUACAGCACUUGCCUACCAGGACCCACGUUCAAUCCAUAGUACUAGGGGGGAAAAACUAAUUUAACUUAAACAAAGAAGCAGAAACAAAAGAUAACCUCCCACUUUACUCUGUUCAUGGAUGCUUGUUGAAAUCAAAUGUACAUGCAAUAUUAUCACUAGUAAAAUGGAAUUAAAAUUUAGCUCUUCCAUUAGUUGUUUUUGUGAGAUUUUCAUGAAUGUGUGUUGGGGAAUUUUCUGGACCCUUCAAGUCAUGUUAAAUAGUCAUGGUGACAGCAGACAUUAGGGUAUGGUUUCUGGUUUCAUUUGAAAUGGUUUAAAUUUUGACUAGAAAAAUGUGUGGUUGACUUUUGAUAAAAACAUCUUUGUUAUACAUAAAGUUUCCUUUCUGUAUUUAUUUAAAAUUUACAUC
rnacentral:lncRNA from 1 species